AGAGUUUGAUUCUGGCUCAGGACGAACGCUGGCGGCGUGCUUAACACAUGCAAGUCGAACGGAACUGUUAUGGAAUGUCUUCGGACAGGAAGUUUCAGUUUAGUGGCGAACGGGUGAGUAACGCGUGAGGAACCUGCCUUUCAGAGGGGGACAACAGUUGGAAACGACUGCUAAUACCGCAUAACACAUAUUCUUCGCAUGAAGGACAUGUCAAAGAUUUUAUCGCUGAAAGAUGGCCUCGCGUCUGAUUAGAUAGUUGGUGGGGUAACGGCCCACCAAGUCGACGAUCAGUAGCCGGACUGAGAGGUUGAACGGCCACAUUGGGACUGAGAUACGGCCCAGACUCCUACGGGAGGCAGCAGUGGGGAAUAUUGGGCAAUGGGCGCCAAGCCUGACCCAGCAACGCCGCGUGAAGGAAGAAGGCUUUCGGGUUGUAAACUUCUUUUACCAGGGACGAAGGAUGUGACGGUACCUGGAGAAAAAGCCACGGCUAACUACGUGCCAGCCGCGGC
rnacentral:rRNA from 1 species